GUGGGGGUGAAGAGACCAGAGGCUGACCCCUUGGUGCUUUAUUUAUUCACGUAGAAUACAUCAAAUGCCUCCACUGCCUCCAGGCCUCUUAGUAUAUCUAAAACCAGCAGUAAGCGUGUACAUUAAAUGAAAAGAAGUAAGCCAACAGCAAACUUUCACUGUGGCCCAAUCGUUUCAAGUCAGUUGCCAGAUAACUGGGAAUUUGAAACACAGAUACAGUAAAGAUGUUUACUGCUGUGAAAAUCUAUAGUAAUAAAGGACUUCAUAGCUAAUGAUCUGAUUGCCCUCAAAACUGGGAGUCCUUGAAGCCAGAAAUGUAUGAAUUCCC
rnacentral:lncRNA from 1 species